rnacentral:lncRNA from 1 species
ACCAAAGUCAUGACUUAUUUAAGCGUGAACUUUUAUUUCUGCAUGACCCAAUAUUGUUCCACACACUUGUUUUUCUCAACGAAAUGCAAACUGGAAUGAUCGAAUUGGCAGGGGGACGCAUACCUCUGUACUUUGUAUCCAAGGAUAUUGUUCAUGCGAUGCUUGCCAAUGUGGAUGGAGAAACAAUUGAGCCUAUGCAAUUAAAUCUGGCCUUUGAGAUGGGGAGCGCUAUACCUCUCUUAAUUAAUCCGGAACGUAUGGAGAUUUGCUUUUUAUUGGCCAU